rnacentral:sRNA from 1 species
ACAUGGUGUCGACGUCCAACAGGAGCUC